rnacentral:lncRNA from 13 species
CCCUCCCGCUUCCCCCUGGCCCAGGCGGGGUGUGGGUGGCCGCGGGGACGGUGGACAUUUUGCGAGUCGCAGCUGCCCCCGGUGCGGCGGCGGCCUCGGGGUGUGUGAGACUGCGCGUGUGCUUGUGUAUGCGGGGGGGGGGAGGGUGCGGUGCCGGUGCGUGUGUGGUGUGUAGGGUGUGUGUGUGUGCGUGGGGGCUGCGGUGCGUGCGUGUUUGCGUGCGUGUGUGCGGUGCCGGUGCGUGUGUGUGGGUACCCUGCCGUGCCGUGCCGUGUGUGUGUGUGCGGGGGGUGCGAGGCCGGUGCGGUGCGUGUGUGUGGGUACCGUGCAGUGUGUCUGUGCGGAGGGUGCGGUGCCGGUGCGGUGCCGUGUGUGUGCGUGCGCGGUCGGCGCGGCGCGGGGGGGCCGUGCGGGGCGCGUACGCCGGGCGGACCCGGCGGGGCGCAGCGCGGGGCGGUCACCGGCAGGGCCGGUCGCCGCCGCCGCACGGCGUAUGUAGUACGGGGCUGGGCGGCUGCCGGAGGGUGAAUGAAGCGAGGAGGAGGCGGCGGCGGGGGAGGCGGCGCUGGCGCUGGGAUGUGCCCGGCAGCAGCCCCGCUCCGCUUUACUCAGGGCCCAGACCGGCUGCAGACGCCACCCGAUCCUGGAGCACAGGAAAAGAGUUUUAA